rnacentral:lncRNA from 1 species
UCCGCCCACCCCUGUUCCCAUUGCUGGGGCUGGCAGGCUCCCUGAGGUCAGCUUCCUCCCCUUGCCAUGUUCUUUCAAGGGUGAGGACAGUGAAUGCUUCCUCCCUCUCAGAGGGAGACCAUCUCAGUCCUGGCUGGGCCACAGCUGUCCUGUGUGGCCCUUGUCCUGAGAAACAGGCAUGACAAGAGGUGGUGCCUGUUUCACAGAUGAGGAAAACAGAGGCCCAGAGAAGCAAAGAAGCUUGCCCAGGGCCCCUCAGGAGGCGGAGGCAGAGGCCAAGCUGAGAGUCUCUGACUCCGUCUGGUGCCCUGCCGCACAGCUGCCCAACGGCUGCCUGGUCCUGGGCGCCCUGCCGGAGAUGCCGUCCCCAGGCACUCCCACGCAGGGCCCUGCGGCCACGGACACCCUGCAGAGGGAACAAGCCGAGCUGUCCUGCAGCCCUAGCC